rnacentral:rRNA from 1 species
UGCUUCAAUUGCCGGCGACCGGCGCACGGGUGAGUAACGCGUAUCCAACCUUCCGUACACUCAGGGAUAGCCUUUCGAAAGAAAGAUUAAUACCUGAUGGUAUGAUGAGAUUGCAUGAUAGCAUCAUUAAAGAUUUAUCGGUGUACGAUGGGGAUGCGUUCCAUUAGGUAGUAGGCGGGGUAACGGCCCACCUAGCCAACGAUGGAUAGGGGUUCUGAGAGGAAGGUCCCCCACAUUGGAACUGAGACACGGUCCAAACUCCUACGGGAGGCAGCAGUGAGGAAUAUUGGUCAAUGGACGAGAGUCUGAACCAGCCAAGUAGCGUGAAGGAUGAAGGUCCUACGGAUUGUAAACUUCUUUUAUAAGGGAAUAAACCCUCCCACGUGUGGGAGCCUGUAUGUACCUUAUGAAUAAGCAUCGGCUAACUCCGUGCCAGCAGCCGCGGUAAUACGGAGGAUGCGAGCGUUAUCCGGAUUUAUUGGGUUUAAAGGGAGCGCAGACGGGUCGUUAAGUCAGCUGUGAAAGUUUGGGGCUCAACCUUAAAAUUGCAGUUGAUACUGGCGUCCUUGAGUGCGGUUGAGGUGUGCGGAAUUCGUGGUGUAGCGGUGAAAUGCUUAGAUAUCACGAAGAACUCCGAU